rnacentral:misc_RNA from 1 species
GGGGGUUGCGGGCUUCAUUAACGAGGUCGGCUCUCCUUAAAUGCAUUAGCGGAACUUUUGUGGACCGUCUAUUGGUGUGAUAAUUAUCUACGCCGUGGAUGUGAAGCAGCUUUAUGAAGUUCAGCUUCUAACCGUCCAUUUCUUUGGACAAUUUUUGACAAUUUGACCUCAAAUCAGGUAGGACUACCCGCUGAACUUAA